AUACGUAGGGUGCGAGCGUUGUCCGGAAUUACUGGGCGUAAAGAGCUCGUAGGUGGUUUGUCGCGUCGUCUGUGAAACUCCGGGGCUUAACUCCGGGCGUGCAGGCGAUACGGGCAUAACUUGAGUACUGUAGGGGAGACUGGAAUUCCUGGUGUAGCGGUGAAAUGCGCAGAUAUCAGGAGGAACACCGGUGGCGAAGGCGGGUCUCUGGGCAGUAACUGACGCUGAGGAGCGAAAGCAUGGGUAGCGAACAGGAUUAGAUACCCUGGUAGUCCAUGCCGUAAACGGUGGGCGCUAGGUGUAGGGGUCUUCCACGACUUCUGUGCCGUAGCUAACGCAUUAAGCGCCCCGCCUGGGGAGUACGGCCGCAAGGCUAAAACUCAAAGGAAUUGACGGGG
rnacentral:rRNA from 1 species